rnacentral:rRNA from 1 species
ACUCCUACGGGAGGCAGCAGUGGGGAAUUUUGGACAAUGGGCGAAAGCCUGAUCCAGCAAUGCCGCGUGAGUGAAGAAGGCCUUCGGGUUGUAAAGCUCUUUUGUCAGGGAAGAAACGGUGAAAGCUAAUAUCUUUUGCUAAUGACGGUACCUGAAGAAUAAGCACCGGCUAACUACGUGCCAGCAGCCGCGGUAAUACGUAGGGUGCAAGCGUUAAUCGGAAUUACUGGGCGUAAAGCGUGCGCAGGCGGUUUUGUAAGUCUGAUGUGAAAUCCCCGGGCUCAACCUGGGAAUUGCAUUGGAGACUGCAAGGCUAGAAUCUGGCAGAGGGGGGUAGAAUUCCACGUGUAGCAGUGAAAUGCGUAGAUAUGUGGAGGAACACCGAUGGCGAAGGCAGCCCCCUGGGUCAAGAUUGACGCUCAUGCACGAAAGCGUGGGGAGCAAACAGGAUUAGAUACCCGAGUAUCCCAUGA